rnacentral:lncRNA from 10 species
GAGACAUGGUGUGGCCCUAGGCACUGAGAAAUGUUUACCUGCUAGGGAAGCUGCAAGUCUAAGGGAAUUUGAGAGAACCUAUGGGCAGAGGUCAAAGAAGAGCAACUCAGGACAUGUUACUACUGGAGUUUUCUGUAUGUUUCAUAAUUAGAUGAAACACAGGGGCAAUAUCUGCUUUUAGCAGAUGCCAGAAAAAUAAAGAUAACAGUGGAAAUGUGUGGUGGAAUGGGGAGAACCUCAUACUUCAUCACAUUUAAUCCUUGCAGCAACCUUAUGGAGUUUGUACCUGGUAACCUUUUAAUCUUCAUCUUACAGGUGAGGAAACUGAGGCAAUAAAAGGCUAAGUUAAUUGUUGGAAGUCACACAGAAGUGGGAGAAGGGACUUCAGAGUGUGUGCUCUUCACCGAGUCUUGUUUCUGCCACGCUACCUUCCUCUCUCAGUGUUUUUCCAUAGGAAUUUCCUGAAAAGCCCCCAUCCUUAUUCCUCUGUAGUUGGGAACUUUACCUCACCCUCCUUUGUAUUCUUUUUCUGUUUUAAUUUGUUUUUUUUUUUUUUCAAGACAGUGUCUCCCUCUGUCACCCAGGCUGGAAUGUAAUGGUGGUGAUCCCGGCUCACUGCAGCCUCCACCUCCCAGGUUCAGUCGAUCCUCCUGCCUCAGCCUCCCUAGUAGCUGGGACCACAGGUGCACACCACCAUGCCCAGCUACUUUUUGUAUUUUAGUAGAGAUGGGAUUUCACCAUGUUGGCCAGGCUGGUCUCCAACUCCUGGGCUCAAGUAAUCUACCCACCUUGACCUCCCAAAGUGCUAGGAUUACAGGCAUGAGCCACCAUUCCCGGCCUCACCUUUCUUUAUAUUCUGCUCCCACUGCCUAAAAGUGGAUGGAUUACUUCUAUCUUUAUGAGCAUGGGACAUUUUUGCAAGAAGGUGACCCUGAGACUGAAGUGGAUGGUGAUCGGAGCCAGCUGCUUGGUGCUGAAGGGCCAAGAAACCUGGGCUCAAGUGUCCUGUGAUCAAGAAUUAGGACAUGAGCCAGAAGGCACAUAAACAAUCUAUGCUUUUACCAGUUUGCAAGCAAAGUCACACCUUUGUUCAAGGAAUGAUAACUGCCUUCUUAUUACAUGUACUGACUUCAUUUCCUGAACCGAUUAUGCAAUUUUGCACCUUUGAGCCUUUGAAGAGGCUGUUUCACUGCUUGGAAAUCCAUUUCUUCUCUCUUCCACCUGAUAGACUUCUACUCUUCCUUCAAGGGUCAGCCCGAGUGGCAUCCUUUUGAAGUUUCUUCUGUCUCCCUGACCAGCUGUGAGCCCUCUAGGGCCAAGACAGUGGCUUCCUAACCUGGUCUGGGCACUUUAACACUAGCACAGGACUUGGCACAAGGAAAAACACCUGUUCUUUUUGGAAGAUGAGCCAAUUAAAUGUUGGGUUGUCAGUCAUAGACUAGGAAAUGAUGAGAUCUAAAUAUACAGUUGCUUAGAAACAAGCCCUUUCAGAUGUGAAGGACCUCUUCAAGGAGAACUACAAACCACUGCUCAACAAAAUAAAAGAAGACACAGACAAAUGGAAGAACAUUCCAUGCUCAUGCAUAGGAAGAAUCAAUAUCAUGAAAAUGGCCAUACUGCCCAAGGUAAUUUAUAGAUUCAAUGCCAUCCCCAUCAAGCUACCAAUGGCUUUCUUCACAGAAUUGGAAAAAACUACUUUAAAGUUCAUAUGGAACCAAAAAAGGGCCCGCAUUGCCAAGACAAUCCUAAGCCUAAAGAACAAAGCUGGAAGCAUCACACUACCUGACUUCAAACUAUAUACAAGGCUAUAGUAACCAAAACAGCAUGGUACUCGUACCAAAACAGAGAUAUAGACCAAUGGAACAGAACAGAGCCCUCAGAAAUAAUACCACGCAUCUACAACCAUCUGAUCUUUGACAAACCUGACAAAAACAAGAAAUGGGGAAAGGAUUUCCUAUUUAAUAAAUGGUGCUGGGAAAACUGGCUAGCCAUAUGGAGAAAGCUGAAACUGGAUCCCUUCCUUAUACCUUAGACAAAAAUUAAUUCAAGAUGGAUUAAAGACUUAAAUAUUAGACCUAAAACCAUAAAAACCCUAGAAGAAAACCUAGGCAAUACCAUUCAGGGCAUAGGCAUGGGCAAGGACUUCAUGUCUAAAACACCAAAAGCAAUGGCAACAAAAGCCAAAAUUGACAAAUGGGAUCUAAUUAAACUAAAGACCUGCACAGUAAAAGAAACUACCAUCAGAGUGAACAGGCAAACUACAGAAUGGGAGAAAAUUUUUGCAAUCUACUCAUCUGACAAAGGGCUAAUAUCCAGAAUCUACAAAGAACUCAAACAAAUUUACAAGAAAAAAACAAACAACCUUAUCAAAAAGUGAGUGAAGGAUAUGAACAGACACUUCUCAAAAGCAGACAUUUAUGCAGCCAAAAGACACACAAAAAAAUGCUCAUCAUCACUGGUCAUCAGAGAAAGGCAAAUCAAAACCACAAUGAGAUACCAUCUCACACCAG